CUCAGAUAGAUCAAACAAGUCCAAAUUCUAAUAAUGUAAUUAGUCAAUGAACAAUAAUUGUCUUGCGCCGACAAACAGUAUUUUUAGACCAAAGAGGAAAAGACUUUAUCAGAGUAGAAAAAACUCUAUCAAAAUACUAUUUGAAAUCUAGUAGCUACUACAUAGAAAAUCCACUGAAUAAAAUCGAAUGGAAACGACUAGUAGGAAUAUAGAAAAAGGAAUAGUGGAAUGAAUGAAUGUCAUAAUGAAAAAAAAAAAAAAACAUCACUUAAAUACAUAGUCUUAGAGAUACAGAACAAUCCAUUAAAUGAAGCUCACAUUAUAUGGAAAAGUGCAAAAAAACAAUAGUAAAGAUGUAAAGGCAGGAGAAAUAAAAGCAAGAAUAAGUACUCAAACGUGCAUAUUCCAAGUCAAAAGAGCUAAGUUCGAUCCGAAAGCUAACCCGAUGUGUACAAUCUGUGAACAGGAAAAUGAAGAUCUAGAACAUUUUAUUCUACACUGAAAAGAAUUAGAGCAAAUAAGAUCUAAAUACUGCUCAAAAAUAGAACAGACAAUGGAUGAAAUUGAUACCUCAACAUACAUGGAGAUCAUACAACAAGGAAAUUUACUGCAGCUCAUAAUGGACUGUACUAGCAUGGACAUUAACUGUUACUCAACUGUGUAUGAAAACAUUGAAACUCUGGCUAGAAAUAUGUGUUAUGAGAUGCACUUGCUGCACACAAAAAGGAUAACAAAAACUUGAUCACAAGUAGACAUAGUUGCUACAACUAUACCCUUUGGGUAGUGCUCCAAAAUUAAUGGAGGAAUAUACAAGAAACUGAACUGAACUGUACCAGAAGUUGGAUUUUAAGAGGAGCGAAAGAUGGCGUCCAUAAAAUUUACGAAGGGAUGAUUUCAACUUCACCAUUUGGAACACUUAGUUUAAUAGCAUUUUUUGUUUAAAUAUUAACGUGAAAUAAAAAAAUGUAUUUAUUAAUGGCCGUGAACACUUAUUGAGAAUUAACCAGAGAAACCAACCGAAUUCACUGAAAUUUUAUAAACUGAUAAACAGUAAAAAUAAUCUAUAUGAUCUAAACAACAUGUGUUUAUUCAUAAAGUUAAUUAAUAUUGAAUAUAGGCUCUUCAAACCAUUAAAUCUUUUUUAGCAACCAG